GGGCGCAUAGCUCAGCGGUAGAGCCCCUCGCUUACAACGAGGUGGUCGGGGGUUCGAUCCCCUCUGCGCCCACCC
rnacentral:tRNA from 1 species